CCUACGGGUGGCAGCAGUGAGGAAUAUUGGUCAAUGGGCGCGAGCCUGAACCAGCCAAGUCGCGUGAGGGAGGACGGCCCUACGGGUUGUAAACCUCUUUUGCCGGGGAGUAACGGGCGUCACGUGUGGCGCCACUGAUAGUACCCGGAGAAACAGCAUCGGCAAACCCCGGGCCAGCACCCGCGGUAAUACGGGGGAUGCGAGCGUUAUCCGGAUUUAUGGGGUUUAAAGGGUGCGAAGGGGGUUCGUAAGGCCAGUGGUAAAGUUUAGGGGGCCAACCCCUUCUCGCCAUUGAAACUGGCGCCCGUGAGUGGAAGAGAGGUAUGCGGAAUGCGUGGUGUAGCGGUGAAAUGCAUAGAUAUCACGCAGAACCCCGAUUGCGAAGGCAGCAUGCCGGCUUCCGACUGACGCUGAAGCACGAAAGCGUGGGGAUCGAACAGGAUUAGAUACCCUUGUAGUC
rnacentral:rRNA from 1 species